rnacentral:tRNA from 1 species
AGGGGCAUAAGAUAAUGGUAGUCGUAAGCUCUCCAAAAGCUUCCGUGUGGGUUCGAAUCCUACUGCCCCUGCCA